rnacentral:rRNA from 1 species
UACGGAGGGAGCUAGCGUUGUUCGGAAUUACUGGGCGUAAAGGGCGCGUAGGCGGCCUCCGCAAGUCAGUUGUGAAAUCUCCGAGCUUAACUCGGAAAGGUCAACUGAUACUGCGGGGCUAGAGUGGCGGAAGGGGCAACUGGAAUUCUUGGUGUAGCGGUGAAAUGCGUAGAUAUCAAGAGGAACACCGGUGGCGAAGGCGGAUCUCUGGGCCAUUACUGACGCUGAGGAGCGAAAGCGUGGGGAGCGAACGGG